AUUGAACGCUGGCGGCAGGCCUAACACAUGCAAGUCGAGCGAGCGGCGGACGGGUGAGUAAUGUAUGGGGACUGCCCGAUAUAGGGGGAUAACUACUGGAAACGGUAGCUAAUACCGCAUACUAUCGGAUAACCCAUAUGGGAUUAGCUAGUGGGUGAGGUAAUGGCUCACCUAGGCGACGAUCCCUAGCUGGUCUGAGAGGAUGAUCAGCAACACUGAGACGAAGACACGGCCCAGACUCCUACGGAGGCAGCAGUGGGGAAUAUUGCACAAUGGGCGCAAGCCUGAUACAGCCAUGCCGCGUGUAUGAAGAAGGCCCUAGGGUUGGAAAGUACUUUAAGUCGGGAGGCGUUACCGAAAGAAGAAGCACCGGCUAACUCCGUGCCAGCAGCCGCGGUAAUAC
rnacentral:rRNA from 1 species